rnacentral:rRNA from 1 species
UCAAGCGAUCCUGCGCCGAAAAUGUAACGGGGCUAAAGCCAUUUACCGAAAUUGUGGGCUCGAAAGAGCGGUAGCGGAGCGUUCCGUAAGCCUGCGAAGGUGCACUGCGAGGUGUGCUGGAGGUAUCGGAAGUGAGAAUGUUGACAUGAGUAGCGACAAAGCGGGUGAGAGACCCGCUCGCCGAAAAUCCAAGGGUUCCUGCGUAAAGCUAAUCUGCGCAGGGUUAGCCGGCCCCUAAGGCGAGGCCGAAAGGCGUAGCCGAUGGGAACCACGUUAAUAUUCGUGGGCCUGGGAGUGUGUGACGGAUUUCGAAAGUUGUCAUCCCUUAAUGGAUUGGGGUGGCGGCCUGGAAGUCCCAGGAAAUAGCCCUCCCAUAUAGACCGUACCCUAAACCGACACAGGUGGAUAGGUAGA